UACGGAGGGGGCGAGCGUUAUUCGGAAUUAUUGGGCGUAAAGGGCGCGUAGGCGGCUUGACAAGUCAAAGGUGAAAUCCCUCGGCUCAACUGAGGAACUGCCUUUGAAACUGUCUGGCUUGAGGCCGGGAGGGGGUAGCGGAAUUCCCAGUGUAGCGGUGAAAUGCGUAGAUAUCAGGAGGAACACCGGUGGCGAAGGCGGGUCUCUGGGCCGAUACUGACGCUGAGGAGCGAAAGCGUGGGGAGCGAACAGG
rnacentral:rRNA from 1 species